AGUUGCGUAGGUGGCAGAGUAAGUAGAUAGUGAAAGCGUGUGGCUCAACCAUACUCACAUUAUCUAAACUGCUCAGCUUGAGGACGAGAGAGGUCACUGGAAUUCCUAGUGUAGGAGUGAAAUCCGUAGAUAUUAGGAGGAACACCGAUGGCGUAGGCAGGUGACUGGCUUGUUCCUGACACUAAGGCACGAAAGCGUGGGGAGCGAACGGGAUUAGAUACCCCGGUAGUCCACGCCGUAAACGAUGGAUGCUAGCUGUUAUGCGUAUCGACCCGCAUAGUAGCGAAGCUAACGCGUUAAGCAUCCCGCCUGUGGAGUACGGCCGCAAGGCUAAAACAUAAAGGAAUUGACGGGGACCCGCACAAGCGGUGGAGCGUGUUGUUUAAUUCGAUGAUAAGCGAAGAACCUUACCAGGGCUUGACACCCUACUAAUUUCUCCGAAAGGAGAGAGUGUCUUCGGACCGUAGUGACAGGUGUUGCAUGGCCGUCGUCAGCUCGUGUCGUGAGAUGUUUGGUUAAGUCCAUCAACGAGCGCAACCCUUAUAGUUAGUUGGAUUUCUCUAGCUAGACUGCCCCGGCAACGGGGAGGAAGGGGGGGAUGAUGUCAGGUCAG
rnacentral:rRNA from 1 species